GACUGCACUAUUUGAUGACUGCAUAUUAUAAGUUUUAAGCCUUUAAACCAAUUCACAUAUACAAGGUCCUUAUGCAUACAAGGGCCAUGCAAUUUCCAGUUACAAUUUCCUGUUGUCAAAACACCUAAUGUGAUCAUAUAAUACCUUUACGGAAUAGUAUGUUUGAUUCCUAUUAUUCCUUAUAUGGUUUAAUCCCUAUUUUAUCUCGUAACAUUGCCACAAUGUCUUAGACUUUAGGGAACCUUAUGUACUACAGUCAUUUCUCUGGAUAUAAUCGGAACCCAGUAACUAUUCGAAUUUUAAAAAUUACCUAACUUCUGUUUUCAUUACCCAGUCUGUUAUCUUUGUUAUCCCUUUGAACUAUUUACAUACCUACAAGAAGAGACCUAAAAAUUCCAGAACAAGGCACACUGAUCUUUCUUAGAUUUCUCUCCUACUACUGCUCAGCUGAUGCUAUGAAAGGAAUCAUAAACUUUGAUGUUUAUGUUUUUAAUUAUUACUUUUAUUGUUGGUAUUACUUGAGGGUGUAGGGGGAAGCUGACUCCUAGAAGGUUGCCAAAAGGAUGAGAAUAGAUAUGAAAAUACUUUGAAAAGUAUAAUGUACAGUAGUCUCCCCCCAACUCCUCUGCCGUGGGAUUACUGACAUUCCACCACCUCCAGUGGACGCCUGAAGCCGAUUAGUACUAAUCCCAAAUGAUUAAUUUAUAAAUUAGGUACAGUAAGAGGUUAACAAUAAUAAAAUAAUUACAAUAUACUGUAAUAGAAGUUAUGUGAAUGUGGUCUCAGUGUCUCUCUCAAACAUUUAAUUUUUGAAAAAUUUUCCAAAAUAUCCCACCCACAAAUUUAAUGCCUUUUCCAUACUCGCUAAGUAUUUAUCAUGCUUAGUGUCCGUAACUUAUACAGUCUGAUGAGGUAUGACAGCAAACAAAACUAGCAGGAAUUCCUUUUUCCUCCUCCACAAUUUCAGGCAUAGAUGUGCUCUUACCACAGAUCUUAGCAACCUUGGCACACGAUUUUUUUUUUUCCAUCUUUUUUCUUUCCUUAUUAAGUGGAGAACUUCACUUUUUCACUUAAAGGAAGCACUUUAUCGCUUCUUUCUGGCAUAUCCAAAUUGCCAGCAGCAGUACUCUUGCCCUUUGGGGCAUAAGUAAAAUAAGUGUCACUUGAACACAAGCACUGAUACUAUCGCAGUUGACAUAACGGGCAAAGAGUGUAUGCAGCAUGGAUACUGGACAAAGGGAUUAUUCAUGUCUCUGCAGUGCAGAGUGGCGGGAGAUUUCAAAUUUAUGAAUUAUUUCUGGAAUUUUCAAUUUAAUAGUUUCAGAUCUCAGUAGACCACACGUAACUGAAAGUACAGAUGGCGGUGGGGCUACUGUAUUUUUUAAAAACCAAAAAUUGGGAAACAAUAAUUUAUCCAACCCACAUCCUAUUUUUAAUAUGUUAGACAAAAGGAAGUUUACAUGUCAGAGUGAUAAAACUGGAGCUGCCUCAUUAUAAAUCCUAUCCACACAGAGUUAAGAUUAACUGUCUUUUUUUAAUGCUUUGUCAUUAUUUGUGUUCCAUAUCUUGCUUAAGGUAAAUGUUGCUGGUUACCCAAUAAAACCAAAGAUUUGCUCUCAGAAGCAAAACUGAAAAAGAAAUAAAUGUUUCAUUAGCAUCACUGUCAGUAAUACUGUUAUCGCAGGGGAAUCCUCUAAGAAAAUGUGUCCCUGCCUACCAAAAAUACAAAUAAUAAGUUCCUCCUUACAAUAUUAAGAACUAUUUUUUCCUUUUCAUUACAACCAGAAAAACAAUUCAUACAUCUGGGUUCUCAUCUUUGCUGUUCCAUUAACUUGCUCUUUUAUUUUGCCAUAUCUGUCUCUGUGAACUUCAACUUACUCAUGUGUAAAAAUGUGCAUCUCUACAGGGCCUCCUUAUUUUAACAUUGAUUCUAUAUUUAAGGAAAGCAUAUCUACGAGCACCCCCUUACCUAUAGUGCUUUAACUACUGAAUUACAAAAGUACAUUUAUAAAGUAAUUACUCCUUAAAGCAUUAUAAAGCAGCAGCAUAACUUUAAACUGGUAGUAUUUUUUCAAGAUAUAUAGUUUUCAUCAAAGUAAAUGUUUUCAGUCCCCCCCAAAAAUCCUAUGCUGAGAUCCAGACAUAGAUAUAUAUGUGUUUUCUUUAGACACUCCCUAUUUAAUGAAUCAAAUUUUAAGAUUUUGCUUUUGUGCCUUAAUUAAGCCACAAUUUGACCAUUUAAUGGAUUCAUAAGCACUAGAGUUGAAGGAAAAUGUGUACUCUUCAUGAACCAUACGCCUAAAGAAUAAUUGAGCAGAACCAUUCAUAAAUUGAAAAGCCCUCAAAAUACUGAUGUUUUUAAAAGUAUGAGUACACAGGCACUUUUUGAAAUAAGCAAUUUCCAAAUUAUUAUUUAAAAUGCUAAACUUACUUGAGUUGAAGUUUUUUGCCUUUUAUGAAAUACAAAGCAAUUUAGGAGGUUUGACCUGGUUUUCAAAAUAGAGAUUAUUUUCAAACUUAAAAACUGGUAAAAUAAAAGGCCACAGUGGCACUACCUAAUGUUUAAUUAGAAGGUUCCUUUCAAAAGUUAGUCCCCUGGUGCAAUAUUAGAAAAUUGAAUUUCUACAUUGCAUAUCAUAUCGAUACCCAAUACAAUAAAAAUAUCGUCUACUUAGAAUAAUUUUUUUAAAUCCACUAAGUCUCCUCACUCUCAUUACUCACAAUUCCCAUAUCCAUAAAUGUACUGUGGACAAAAGGUCCUACACUGAAGCUUUAGUCACUUAUCUAUUUCUUUGAAAAGCUUCGUGUCAUUGAUACUUAUUAAAAGCAAACAUGAUGAAAUACUAGGAGCUAUAUUUCUAAUAUUAUCUCCUGAAUACUUGAUGAAUACUUGUAGAAGGCAUUUUUUUUUUAAUUCCCUCAGUGCAUACAUCUAUUAAUACAAGAACGAUUAGACAUGAGCUAAAAUUCUCUUUAAAAACAAAAAUUAAUAGAAUAUAAACAAGGGACAGCAAUUCUGUUUUCCCCUAACAAGGAUGGCAAUCCCAGCUGCUGCAUCAAAACAAAAACUAGGGACUCUGAAAGCAGCCUCGGCUGGGUGCGAAAUUACAGUAUAAGGAAAAGACCUAGAAAUAAACUGAGCUCGGCACGCGCCUGCCUCUCGCCUAGGGAGCACGAACCUCCCAGCCCCGCUCUCAGCAGCGCUCACUAUUUAAAGCCGGAUCUGGUGUUUAAAUGGAGAGGUGGUGACGUAGGCCUGAAAAGCACCUUCCCAUCCUGGCAGAGUCUAUAUUAGAGAGCGGCAAUGGCUCUAUAUAAACAGGGCAGCCAAAGGGAGGAGGACCACAAGCUCAGGGACUGAAAAGCAGGGUAAGCGGCCGCAGCCAUGAUGGAUCGACCCGAGUCGCCAACGAUUAUGAGGAUCAGGAGUUUGGACAUAGCAGUGGAAAUGGCUUUUCACUUCUCUGUGACAUCUGAUGCCUCAACUGGAAGACUCAAUGUCUAUGAGUUGGAAUCAUGUGAAUCUUCAUGCACUUCUGUGCCUUGGUGAUUUUGGCUGUUAUCUGAGACCUUAGCUGGGACUGCCGACUGAACACCUACAUGUGGUCUCUCCAGUGUGGCCUGGGCUCCCACACAACAUGAUAGCCAGGGUCCAAAGGCAGCGUAUCACAUGCUGAGGAUAUAACGUCAGCAAAACUAGACACGAGAUUUAAACCCAGAACACUUCCAGCUGCUGGGUUGAAAAAAAAUGAGUCACUGUUACUGCCUUUAAGAAGUUCAGCAUCUAGAAGAAGAAACGACCAAUUGUGAUGCAGUAAAAGCAAUGAGAAUACAACAGAAAGUGCUCUGACAGGUCCAGGCAUUGCGCUGGAGACCGGACCAUGGGGACAAAGCGAAUAUGAAAACAUCACUGUUGCCCUGGAGGACCCGAGUUUGGUAGGAGACAGAUGACUUCCAGGCGAAGAACACUCCAUCCAAAGGUCACAUAGCGCUUGGCACUGUACAAGGCACCUUCCCUCACGCCCUGUAGCCCCACCCGGGCAGGAUACUCAACCGUGAGGAAGGAAGGGAAGCUCUGGGGAGAUGACGUGCCUAGAGGAAAUAGACAGAUGAGAGUCUGCUCCAUAGCCUCAGGGGAUUCAGUUCGCCCUGACUGAACCACUCAGCCUUGAAGGAGGGCUCUCCCAGAGAUGGGCCCCAUCGACCAGUCCCACAGACACAUCAGACUUGAUGACAACUGACAAGACAGGCCUGUGAAAGAAGCUGAAGGAGAAUUUUCCCAACUUCCUCAAGGACAGUGACAAAACAAAGUUUCUUUGAAGAAAAAGGCAAGAAUAAGGGUGAGAAGAUUCAGUUUUCUGAGUUUCUGUCCUUGGUGGGGGACAUACCCAUGGCUACCACGCUCAGAGCCACACAGCGAUGCCCUAUUCUACGGAAGCUUCAGUUUAAAAAAACAAAACAAAAACAGAGACAAUAAGACAUGGUGUGUGUGUGUGUGUGUGUGUGUGUGUGUGUAUGUGUGUGUGUGUGUGUCCAAGUUUAGUUUUAUGAGAAAACACACACAAUUGCAAGAGAAAUGGGGAGUGGUUGAGGCUGAGUGCAUUUAAUAAUCCUCACUGGGAGAGGGUUGAAAACUUUGUGAUACAUUCCCUGAACCUGUAAAUCAGAGAUUCAGAUGCAAAUGAUCAAAAAGUAGGGGCGGGGGGUGGGGGGGAUUGUCAUUUACCACAAGGCUACAGACAGAUAGGGAGGAUUCUGAGCCCCAGGGUGGUGAAUCUGGGAGGUGGAACCCUGCGAAAGGCAGCCAAGACAGGCGGGGUCUGUCAGACACCAGUUUCUGGGCGGGCCCUGCUCCCUUCUCAAGUUCUGGGCAUGGAGGGAUAGCGGCAGUUGGUUCAGUGGAACCCUGGAGAACCCAGUGUGGGCAAGCCCAUUUAUACUCUUUGGUGGGAAAUUCUUGCCAGCCUUGCCCUUUGCUGCCCUGUGUCCCUCAGCCCCUGUGGCAUUUUACAAAGGUUUAUUCGAUGAAAUGGAUGUCCCUAAAAAGUUUGAAAGAUAAAAUCUUCGACAUACAAAGAAGAAUCACUUAAGGUGUUCUCCCCGCCAUCCCUACCCCCACUCCCCGUAAGUGCAGUGACAUUUGCCAUGGAUUUACAGGUUUGGGUUUCCAGUCCAUGAGUGACACUAUUCAUUUCCUCCUGGGUGCUUUUUGCCACUUCAUUAAUCUGCCAUAAGGCGAAUCACACUGACUUUGCUGUGAAAGUACCAAGGCUUUCUAUGGGUGGAGUUUGGGGAAUUUAGCUAUUUCUCAACUAUGCCUGUUUUCCCCUAAAAAUAAAACUAUCAAACUAAAAAAAUAUUUUUAAUAAACAAAGGUUAGGAAGAGGUACAAGGCACUGCCACAGGCCUGCAGCCGAGUGGAAGACAGAGAGUCACUUGGCUGGAGAACUCUCCAAUGUGUAAAGAAUCUUUGAAGCUCUCAAUAGCUCAAUUGAAAGUACUUAUAAAUUCCCCACUGCUAGGGUAGAUGGAUAAAUGCCAGGUUUAGAAGUACUUGGUCAUUCUCCUAAACCUUGUUUUUCCUUAUCCUCCUUCUACCCUGGGAUCCAAGAUGAGUUAAAGGCUUUUCAAAGACAAAACUCCACCCUGAUUACACAGGUCGGGAUGUUCAGGAAGAGCCUGAUGGGGUUCCCACGGCUGGGGCUGCAUCCAGAAAUGCUCCCCACAGUGGAAAUGGGGUGGGGGAAUAUUUCAGACACUGACCGGAUCAUCAGCCAUGGAGAUCAACCAGAAUUGAGAGAGUGUCUGUGAAAACAAAAUGCUGUAAAGAACUGCAGCUUGUGAAGAGAGAGACUGUGAUAAACUAGGAUUCCUUGCAAUAUUAUCAAAUAUCAAACUAAAUCCUGUCUGAACCCUUUCGUCUGCAAGAGAGAUCUCUCUCCUUGUAGAACGUCCCCAAUAGCACACAGUACGAGGGCGAAUGUUAGUUACCCAAGUUUGAAAAAUGAUCCAGAAACAAAUUCCUAAACAACAUUUUUGAGAAGGAAAAACAAAUUAUUCUUGGACAUGCUGGGUAAUUCCAGGCACAGAGAAACUACUAGAAACUCCAUUAUUUUCAGAAGAAAACAAUCUCUUGGGCAAAAUAACCAAAACACCAAGAAUACACAACAUGUUUGCAAUGUUGUCCUAACCCAUACUGUGGUGCUUGUUGACAAGUCCAUAUGCCACCUGCAAAGCCAGCCAGCAGUUCAUCCUACACCUACGGGAAACUUAAUGAAUAAACCACAGGAUGUUAGAGACUGAUGUAUAGCUCAAUUCAGGCACGAUAGAAUAAACAUAACUGCAAAAUGAUUUGUAGCCUAGACACAGUGGCUGAGUCCUGAUUUUCAUUCUGUUUCACAUAACAUUUACUUUUUUCUCUGCUAAAAUCUCUCUUGCUGAAGAAGAAAGAUGUGUGGGUGGCAGGAUAACAGAUUCAGCCUUGUGCAUAUUUCAUGUAGUUAGUUAUCCAAGGAGAAACUGAAUUGACAGGGAACAGGACUUGUACCGAACCCUCAGAAAACAACACAUUAAGACAGACUGUCAAAUGGUUUCCCAAUAUUAAUCAUCUACCAACCAAUCAACCAAUCUGUAUACAUGCUUUUUUCCAAUGAAAUUUUUAACCACUCAGGAUUCUAGCUUUUUAACUGGAUGACUACGUCUGACCUCAUUCUGCAGAGAUUUUAAGAGUGGCAACAGGUCACCAAAAGUGAUUUGCAAAGCCCUCUGGCUUGGUGCUCCG